AUACGUAGGUGACAAGCGUUAUCCGGAUUUACUGGGCGUAAAGGGCGUGUAGGCGGUCUUGCAAGUCAGAAGUGAAAUUCCUGAGCUCAACUCGGGCGCUGCUUCUGAAACUGCAGGACUUGAGUGCUGGAGGGGAUAGCGGAAUUCCUAGUGGAGCGGUAAAAUGCGCAGAUAUUAGGAAGAACACCGGUGGAGAAGGCGGCUAUCUGGACAGUAACUGACGCUGAGGCGCGAAAGCGUGGGGAGCAAACAGGAUUAGAUACCCUGGUAGCCCACGCCGUAAACGAUGAAUUCUAGGUGUAGUGGGUAUCGACUCCCUCUGUGCCGCAGUUAACACAAUAAGUAUUCCGCCUGGGGAGUACUUCCGCAAGGUUGAAGCUCAAAUGAAUUGACGGGG
rnacentral:rRNA from 1 species